GUACACGCUGUGACUAGCAUAUCAAUAAGCGGAGGAAAAGAAACUAACAAGGAUUCCCUUAGUAACGGCGAGUGAAGCGGGAAGAGCUCAAAUUUGAAAUCUUCAAGGUUUUACCUUGACGAAUUGUAGUUUAAAGAAGUGUUUUCUGUUGAAGUUUUGGUAAAAGUUCUUUGGAAUAGGACAUCAUAGAGGGUGAGAAUCCCGUAUUUGACCAUUAUUUUCAGCUGUGUGAUACACUUUCAAAGAGUCGGAUUGUUUGGGAAUGCAGUCCAAAAUGGGUGGUAAAUUUCAUUCUAAGGCUAAAUAUUGGCGAGAGACCGAUAGCGAACAAGUACCGUGAGGGAAAGAUGAAAAGAACUUUGAAAAGAGAGUUAAAUAGUACGUGAAAUUGUCAAAAGGGAAGCGUUUAACACCUAGUGUUGUUUUCUGAAAAUCAACCUCUGUUAGCUUUAUGCAUGUUUGUUUAGACCUAAUCAGCUAUCUUGCAUGUUCUAUUGUUUGCAGUGGUGCACUUUUCAGUUUACAGGUCAACAUCAGUUUUUUUUACCGUAAAAAAGUUAAAGAAAGGUAGCUCAUGGCUCCGGUCGUGAGUGUUAUAGUCUUUUUCCUAUGCGGUAGGAGAGACUGAGGUCUGCAGUGUAGGCUAUUUGGCUAGAUACUCAGGUGCUAUGUGAUACCAUUUCAUAAACAACUUGUUGAUUAUGUUUUGUCUAUUGCAUACUCGCUUGUACUAUCAUACCUACGCUUAGGAUGUUGAACUACUGAGACAUAG
rnacentral:rRNA from 1 species